rnacentral:tRNA from 1 species
GCCACCGUAGCUCAGCUGGUAGAGCAACUGAUUCGUAAUCAGUAGGUCAGCGGUUCGACUCCGCUCGGUGGCUCCA